rnacentral:miRNA from 1 species
CUGGGAACAGGCAGGGCACG